UGAGGUGUGGAUAGGGGAGAAAUUCCAAUCGAACCCGGAGAUAGCUGGUUCUCCUCGAAAUAGCUUUAGGGCUAGCCUCGAUUUAGUCUUAUGGAGGUAGAGCACUGAAUUUCCGCGGGGGCGUCAAAGCUUACCAAAGAAUAUCAAACUCCGAAUGCCAUGUAGAUGAUGAUCGGGAGUCAGACUGCACGAGAUAAGUUGGGCAGUCAAAAGGGAAAGAGCCCAGACCACCGGCUAAGGUCCCAAAGUGCGUGUUAAGUGGAAAAGGAUGUGGGAAUUCGAAGACAACUAGGAUGUUGGCUCAGAAGCAGCCAUACAUUCAAAGAGUGCGUAACAGCUCACUAGUCGAGAGUUCCUGCGCCGAAAAUGUCCGGGGCUGAAACACGACACCGAAGCCGUGGACUCGCAAUGCGAGUGGUAGAGGAGCAUUCUUAAAACCGACGAAGCUGUACCGGAAGGAGCAGUGGAGGGAUAAGAAGAGAGAAUGCCGGAAUGAGUAGCGAGAGAAAGGUGGGAAUCCUUUCGGCCGAAUAUCUAAGGUUUCCAGAGUAAAGCUGAUCUGCUCUGGGUAAGUCGGGGCCUAAGCACAGGUCGCAAGACGUAAGCGAUGGAUAACAGGUUUAGAUUCCUGUACCACGCAUUAUCAGAACUGUAGGGACGCAUGUGGAAAGCACGGGCCGGGAAUGGAAAGACCGGUACAAGCGGGGUAGGUGUACAACAGGCAAAUCCGUUGUAUAAUCCGAAGACGUGAUGUGGAGCGAAAUAAAGUAGUGAAGCGUGUGAGCCAUGUGCCGAGAAAAGCUGCUAUUGUGUAAUGCGUGCCCGUACCGUAAACCGACACAGGUGGAUGAGGAGAGAAUCCUAAGGCCGACGGAAGAAGCAUUGUUAAGGAAUUCGGCAAAAUGACCCCGUAACUUCGGGAGAAGGGGUGCCUGCGAGAGCAGGCCGCAGAGAAUAGGCUCAAGCAACUGUUUAGCAAAAACACAGGUCUAUGCGAAACCGAAAGGUGAAGUAUAUGGGCUGACGCCUGCCCGGUGCUGGAAGGUUAAGAGGAGAGGUUAGCGUAAGCGAAGCUUUGAAUUUAAGCCCCAGUAAACGGCGGCCGUAACUAUAACGGUCCUAAGGUAGCGAAAUUCCUUGUCGGGUAAGUUCCGACCCGC
rnacentral:rRNA from 1 species